AUACGGAGGGGGCUAGCGUUGUUCGGAUUUACUGGGCGUAAAGCGCACGUAGGCGGUAUAUCAAGUUAGGCGUGAAAACCCCGGGCUCAACCCGGGAACUGCGCUUAUUACUGAUAAACUAGAGUCCGGGAGAGGGUGGCGGAAUUCCCAGUGUAGAGGUGAAAUUCGUAGAUAUUUGGAAGAACACCAGUUGCGAAGGCGGCCACCUGGACCGGUACUGACGCUGAGGUGCGAAAGCGUGGGGAGCAAACAGGAUUAGAAACCCCAGUAGUCC
rnacentral:rRNA from 1 species